rnacentral:rRNA from 1 species
UGGGGAAUAUUGCACAAUGGGCGCAAGCCUGAUGCAGCCAUGCCGCGUGUAUGAAGAAGGCCUUCGGGUUGUAAAGUACUUUCAGCGGGGAGGAAGGGAGUAAAGUUAAUACCUUUGCUCAUUGACGUUACCCGCAGAAGAAGCACCGGCUAACUCCGUGCCAGCAGCCGCGGUAAUACGGAGGGUGCAAGCGUUAAUCGGAAUUACUGGGCGUAAAGCGCACGCAGGCGGUUUGUUAAGUCAGAUGUGAAAUCCCCGGGCUUAACCCGGGAAUUGCAUCUGAUACUGGUCAGCUAGAGUCUUGUAGAGGGGGGUAGAAUUCCAUGUGUAGCGGUGAAAUGCGUAGAGAUCUGGAGGAAUACCGGUGGCGAAGGCGGCCCCCUGGACAAAGACUGACGCUCAGGUGCGAAAGCGUGGGGAGCAAACAGG